AUUGAACGCUGGCGGAAUGCUUUACACAUGCAAGUCGAACGGUAGAGGGGGCAACCCCUCGAGAGUGGCGAACGGGUGAGUAAUAUAUCGGAACGUGCCCAGUCGUGGGGGAUAACGUAGCGAAAGUUACGCUAAUACCGCAUACGAUCUAAGGAUGAAAGCGGGGGAUCGCAAGACCUCGCGCGAUUGGAGCGGCCGAUAUCAGAUUAGGUAGUUGGUGGGGUAAAGGCUCACCAAGCCAACGAUCUGUAGCUGGUCUGAGAGGACGACCAGCCACACUGGAACUGGGACACGGUCCAGACUCCUACGGGAGGCAGCAGUGGGGAAUUUUGGACAAUGGACGCAGGUCUGAUCCAGCCAUUCCGCGUGCAGGAUGAAGGCCCUCGGGUUGUAAACUGCUUUUGUACGGAACGAAAAGGUCUCUCUUAAUACGGGGGGCUCAUGACGGUACCGUAAGAAUAAGCACCGGCUAACUACGUGCCAGCAGCCAGUAA
rnacentral:rRNA from 1 species